rnacentral:rRNA from 1 species
AGUGAACGCUGGCGGUAGGCCUAACACAUGCAAGUCGAACGGCAGCACAGUAAGAGCUUGCUCUUACGGGUGGCGAGUGGCGGACGAGUGAGGAAUACAUCGGAAUCUACUUUUUCGUGGGGGAUAACGUAGGGAAACUUACGCUAAUACCGCAUACGACGUACGGGUGAAAGCAGGGGAUCUUCGGACCUUGCGCGUUUGAAUGAGCCGCUGUCGGAUUAGCUAGUUGGCGGGGUAAAGGCCCACCAAGGCGACGAUCCGUAGCUGGUCUGAGAGGAUGAUCAGCCACACUGGAGCUGAGACACGGUCCAGACUCCUACGGGAGGCAGCAGUGGGGAAUAUUGGACAAUGGGCGCAAGCCUGAUCCAGCCAUACCGCGUGGGUGAAGAAGGCCUUCGGGUUGUAAAGCCCUUUUGUUGGGAAAGAAAAGCAGCAGGUUAAUACCCCGCUGUUCUGACGGUACCCAAAGAAUAAGCACCGGCUAACUUCGUG